rnacentral:lncRNA from 1 species
CACACCAUCACCUCCCCAUCUUCUUCCAGUGCCCUAUCUCCUCUCUCAUUAGGCAUAAUUGUACUCAACAGUAAAGACUAAUGAAGCAGAAACUUUUCGUGAACUCUGAAUGCCUUGGUAUUUUCUCAGUAUAGCCAGUUCCUAUAACAAUUAUACAACAAUAGUGAAAAAUAUGAGAAUGUCUACAGAAGAAUUCUGA